rnacentral:tRNA from 1 species
AGUUAAUGACCUUGAACAAGUUUAUGUCUUGAAAACAUAAGAAAGAAAGAAAAAACUUUCUAUUAACUU